rnacentral:piRNA from 1 species
UGAGACAUUUCUUUGCUUAUAUUAUAUCC